GACAAGGGGCUGGCCAAAAGAAAUUAUAACGUUCCCAGGAAAGGAGUUGAAGAGACUGAGAGAGAGGAGAUGAAAGAAUUGGAAGCAAAUCUGAUCUGUGCCACUGUGAGACAUGGAAUACUGGGCUAGAUGAACCUAUUGUCUGAUGAGGUGGAGCCCCUGGCCAGGCACCUGCACACUGUGACCUAUGGACUGAGGACACCGGGCGCAACCAGAUGCCUUCAUCUGCUGGAAGGAUAGUGCUGAGCUCCUAGCUGUGCCAGCGCUGGAUACAUGGUACACCAUGUGGACACAGGGGAGAAGCUGCAGGCACCAGUGGGGAUGCUGGCUCAGGGAAGAUGCUGCUCACCCCUGGGGCCCUCCGGAUGCACCGGUUGUGCCAGAGGUGCAUUAUGGACAGGACUCUCCUUCUCCAACAGCUGGUGGUGGUGGCUCAGGAGCAGGAGGAGACCGCCAGGGGCUAGUGGGAGGAGGACUUGGCCUACCAGGCCAGGUGGCGGAGGGAGGACAUUGCCUGGGAAGAGGUGUUCCGGGCUGAGCUCCUGGCCCUGGAAUGGGAGUGGAUUGAGGUCCUUCAGGUGCAAAAUACCAUCCUGGGCCAGGCCAUACAGGCCACAGACAACGAUCAUUGGACCCUGGACACUCCUGGGCCUGGUGGCCUCGUUUGUGACUGCUGCUGCUCAGGCCCCAGCCAUAGUCCCACAGGCCCCCUAGCAGUCAUCCACUACCCCAUAGCAGACCCCUUCCUGGGCUUGGGAGGAGGUCCUCUGCCACCUCCUGCCUCCAGGAGCUCCUGGCCCAGCCCUUGCCCCAGGCUUGCUGCCCAACCUGACCCCAUGCAGGCAUGGAGCCGGAGAUGCCUGGAGCAGCGCCAGGACUGAAUGCUUCAUAGAUUCAUAGAUGCUAGGGUCAGAAGGGACCUCAGUCAUCAAGUCCAACCCCUGCUGGGCCUGGACCUUGCCAGCUGGAGAGGAAGCCACCCACUUUGGCAGAGCAUCAGGUGCUGUCACCUCUGGGUGAGCCCCUCACCUGCUGCAGUCACUGCAGUGUACAGACCCAUGGGGGGAAUGGCCAGAGGCUGGGGUGGUGCUGGCCGCCUGCCCCCUAGGUAUGCCCACCCUCCAGCCCCCCACUCCAGGACUCCACAAAAACACCUUGUAUAUAGUUUCCAGCAGGAAGAGGGUUUUUUUAUUGUUGGAGCGGGGGGUGGUGGUGGAGGGGCUCUGUGUGUU